ensembl:lncRNA
AUUUAAGGGCUGAUUGCCACUGAGAAAGGAUCUCUUUUUAGAGAUCACUCCCUCUGGAGUUUUUUUGCAAGCUUACAACACUGGUCUUGAAUGGCAUCAAAACUUCUAAAUAUGGAGACUUCUCUUUCUAAAUGUUAGAAUGAAACCGCCAGGCUGUUUAUCUGCAGUUCCACUCUCUGCAGAUCACACAGAUUUCUGAAGAUGAGACAGCACCACGUCCUGAGUAUUUUCCUAAGACAAUGAGCAACUAGCUUUGUAUGCUGUCCUUAGGAGGAAAGGUUUCCCAAUCCCAGUCCUAUAAGUGCAGCCAGCAAUGGAUGUGCAACAGAUAAAAAUGAGAAGCAGUCUUGUACGUUUCCCAGCUGUUAGCAAGCAGUCAGUCCAUGCUGUCCCUGUUCUCCAAUAGUUGCUUAUGCUCACAGUGAGUGUGCUGGGAAAGGGGACAUCGUGGCACAGUAAGACAAGCAGCAAGGGUUAUGGUGGUGACUCUGCCUGCCAAAAUGGAGCUCCUGAUCAGGGGAAACAGAAUGUGCUGUGGAAGACACUGAUGCGCUGAGCAUGCCGGCACCCACACAGUGUCUUCCAAAAGUGAACUGUUGUGCAAGCCUCUGUGCGCCUCUGUUGUCAGAGAGCUGGAAGACGCCUCUUAUCUCAUGGAAAAGCCCAUAACACCAGGAAGUGAAGACAAAUUCAGACCAGAAUGAUGUUGGCUUGAAAUGCAAGUUCUUUCAUUCCCCAGAAUAGCAUAGCUUCAGGCUAUCAGCUUGCUAGUGGGAAAAACAGAGUGAUUUAAAAUGUGUUAUAUAAACCCAAAAAUAUAAACAAAUUG